GACGAACGCUGGCGGCGUGCUUAACACAUGCAAGUCGAACGGUGAAGGACGGAGCUUGCUCUGUCUGGAUCAGUGGCGAACGGGUGAGUAACACGUGAGUAACCUGCCCCAGACUCUGGAAUAAGCGCUGGAAACGGCGUCUAAUACCGGAUACGAGACGGAGAGGCAUCUCUACCGUCUGGAAAGUUUUUCGGUCUGGGAUGGACUCGCGGCCUAUCAGCUUGUUGGUGAGGUAAUGGCUCACCAAGGCAACGACGGGUAGCCGGCCUGAGAGGGCGACCGGCCACACUGGGACUGAGACACGGCCCAGACUCCUACGGGAGGCAGCAGUGGGGAAUAUUGCACAAUGGGCGAAAGCCUGAUGCAGCGACGCCGCGUGAGGGAUGACGGCCUUCGGGUUGUAAACCUCUUUCAGCAGAGAAGAAGCGAAAGUGACGGUACCUGCAGAAGAAGCACCGGCUAACUACGUGCCAGCCGCCGCGUAA
rnacentral:rRNA from 1 species